GUCGAUCCAGGCUGAGAGUCACAGUCCGGGCUCCUCCACAAAUCAUGGAGUCAACCAGGAUGAAACUCAUGUGUACGACUCUCUUCAACAUGGUACUGCUGACGUCUAUGAAUCAGUCACACAAGUGAAAAACAGAAAUGGUUCAGAUGAAUACGAUGACAUCACCUCCUCUCUUAUUGAGUUUAAAGAUCUUAGAACUAAGAAUACAGAGUCUGCCUGCACCUUCUGAACAAAG